CAGCAGCCGCGGUAAAACAGAGGGUGCGAGCGUUAAUCUGAUUUACUGGGCGUAAAGCGUGCGUAGGCGGCUAAUUGAGUCGGAUGUGAAAUCCCCGAGCUUAACUUGGGAAUUGCAUUCGAUACUGGUUAGCUAGAGUGUGGGAGAGGAUGGUAGAAUUCCAGGUGUAGCGGUGAAAUGCGUAGAGAUCUGGAGGAAUACCGAUGGCGAAGGCAGCCAUCUGGCCUAACACUGACGCUGAGGUACGAAAGCAUGGGGAGCAAACAGGAUUAGAUACCCCCGUAGUCCCUGUCUCUUAUAC
rnacentral:rRNA from 1 species